GACGAACGCUGGCGGCGUGCCUAAUACAUGCAAGUAGAACGCUGAAGAGAGGAGCUUGCUCUUCUUGGAUGAGUUGCGAACGGGUGAGUAACGCGUAGGUAACCUGCCUUGUAGCGGGGGAUAACUAUUGGAAACGAUAGCUAAUACCGCAUAACAAUGGAUGACACAUGUCAUUUAUUUGAAAGGGGCAAUUGCUCCACUACAAGAUGGACCUGCGUUGUAUUAGCUAGUAGGUGAGGUAAUGGCUCACCUAGGCGACGAUACAUAGCCGACCUGGGAGGGUGAUCGGCCACACUGGGACUGAGACACGGCCCAGACUCCUACGGGAGGCAGCAGUAGGGAAUCUUCGGCAAUGGGGGCAACCCUGACCGAGCAACGCCGCGUGAGUGAAGAAGGGUUUCGGAUCGUAAAGAUCUGUUGUAAGUCAAGAACGGGUGUGAGAGUGGAAAGUUCACACUGUGACGGUAGCUUACCAGAAAGGGACGGCUAACUACGUG
rnacentral:rRNA from 1 species